AUGAUCUCUGGAACCUUCCAGAACCUUCCGGAACCUUUCCCAGAUCCCCAUGGAACCUUCCAGAACCAUCAUAGAUUCCACUGGAACUUUCCAGAACCUUCCAGAACCUUUCCCAGAUCCCCACAGAUCCUUCCAGAACCAUCCCAGAUCCCACUGGAACUUUCCAGAACCUUCCAGAACCUUCCCAGAUUCCUCCAGGAGCCCCCAAAUCCCCCCAGGACCCCUCCCCCAACAUUCCCGGCCAGUUUUUGGUGGGGGGAUUUUAGGGAAGGAUUUUGGAGGUUUUUUUUGGGUAUUUUGAGGAAGGAUUUGGGGGAUUUUGGGGAAGGAUUUUGGAGGAUUUUGGGAGUUUUCUGGGGGAUUUCGAGGAAGGUUUUUGGGGGAUUUUGGGGAA
rnacentral:lncRNA from 1 species